rfam:Phlebotomus papatasi Contig92.23, whole genome shotgun sequence.
GCCCUCAUAGCUCAGUUGGUAGAACAUUCGCCUAGAUAGCGAAUGGCCCCCAGUUCAAGCCUGGGUGGAGGCA